GACGAACGCUGGCGGCGUGCUUAACACAUGCAAGUCGAACGGAAAGGCCCUGCUUUUGUGGGGUGCUCGAGUGGCGAACGGGUGAGUAACACGUGAGUAACCUGCCCUUGACUUUGGGAUAACUUCAGGAAACUGGGGCUAAUACCGGAUAGGAGCUCCUGCUGCAUGGUGGGGGUUGGAAAGUUUAGGCGGUGGGGGAUGGACUUGCGGCUUAUCAGCUUGUUGGGGGGGUAGUGGCUUACCAAGGCUUUGACGGGUAGCCGGCCUGAGAGGGUGACCGGCCACAAUGGGCCUAAGGUACGGACCAGACUCCUACGGGAGGCAGCAGGGGGGAAUAUUGCACAAUGGGCGGGAGCCUGAUGCAGCAGCGCCGCGUGCGGGAUGACGGCCUUCGGGUUGUAAACCGCUUUCGCCUGUGACGAAGCGUGAGUGACGGUAAUGGGUAAAGAAGCACCGGCUAACUACGUG
rnacentral:rRNA from 1 species